GGAGGCAUAUGGAAGUUCCCAGGCUAGGGGUCCAAUCGGAGCUACACCUGCUAGCCUACGCCACAGCCACAGCAAUGUGGGAUCCGAGCCUCAUCUGUGACCCUACACCACAGCUCAUGGCAACACCGGAUCCUUAACCUGCUCAGCGAGGCCAGGGAGAACCCACAUCUUCAUGGAUAUUAGUCGGGUUCAUUAACAGAUGAGCCACUAUGGGAACUCCCUAAAGUUAUCUUUUUCUCCUUUAUCCCCCCCCAAAAAAAAACAAGAAUCAGAAUUAAAAUAUUGCCUGACUCAUAUUGAUGCACGAAAUCUCCAGGUUGAAAUUUGAUGGUAAGACAGGUAAAGAUUUACUCCUAAGUGUAAAAACUCAACUGCUCAAAGAGAGGAAGACGAUGGCUCUUCAGAACAAUGUGUUGGAAGAAAAGUCUAACCAUUUGACUUGAUUGCAAGUUCAACAUGAGUCAACAGAAUCAUGCGGUUGCCAAAACAGCUAAUGCAAUCGAGGCUGCAUUAACAGAAGUGCAACCAGCUUUCAUAUCUGUUAGCCCUUUUUUUUUUCUUUCGUCUUUUAGGGCCACACCCGUGGCAUAUGGAGGUCCCAGACUAGGGUUCCAAUCGGAGCUGUAGCCACUGGCCUACGCCAGAGCCACAGCAACGUGGGAUCUGAGCUGCAUCUUUGACCUACACCACAGCUCAGAGCAAUGCCAGAUCCUUAACCCACUGAGCAAGCCCAGGGAUCGAACCCGCAUCCUCGUGGUUGCUAAUCGGGUACGUUAACUGCUGAGCCACGACGGGAACUCCCUAUGUCCAUUAGCUCUUAACUCAGCCACCCACCCAGAGACCGAGUGAUCUCUCUGUUGACCCGCAGAGGAGACCGACACCAGCGACCUACCCUGGAACAUCCUCGUACACAUCCUUUUCUACCCACAGCGCCCGUCUGUCACCCAGGACACCCAUCGUGACCUGGCUGGGGUUCACAUCUCUUUCCCCAGAACCCUUGGCUUAGGUUAGAAGACAUAGUCUCUAAAGUCCCCAUUUCAUUCAGUCCUUUUCCCAUCUGGUCCUAGUUCAAAAGCCACAGCAGACAUAGCUCAUGUAUUGUUGAAAAGGGUCACAGCCCCUUCUCGCCAGGCCUUAGCUUCUUUUCUGGGCUUCAUGCAGUUGGCAAUGUGGAUGUCAUCAGCAUAUAAUGACUGAAGGGCCUGGCUUAAUGAUGGGCUUCUUCUUUUUCCUUUUCAGCGCUCACGUUAGCCCACCCGUCCAGGACUUCCACCUGCCUGAUGGGGGUUGACCAAGGCCGUUACCCGAUUCAUGUGAGUCAAACUCAUCUGAGCCCGAUUCAUGUGAGUCAAACUCAUCUGAGCCGUGUUGCCGAACUAGGAACACCUAGCAUCAGGGGGUCACCGGAUGAUUUCAGGCAGAAUGUGGACAAACAUUUACCUAAUAAUAAUUAUCGUAUUAUUUUAAUUCAUCUAAUUUUUUGGACAAGUAACGUGCUUACAUGGCUCAAUGUGAAUGAGUAUGAAACCUUAUCCUCCCAUCAGCGCCAACUCUUCUCACCCACUAGGAACCACUUGUAUUAGUUUAUUGGCAUUCUUCUCUCUUAUGUAAGUUUGAGCAUCUACAGAUGUAGACCCCUGAUCUCUCCUGUUUUAUGCACACACCAGUUGAUACACACCUUGCUCUUUUCCCUUAACAAAAAUUCCUUAUCAGCACAUGGAACGCUUCCUCCCUCCUUUUUUAUGGCUGUGUAGUUUUCCUCGGAAUAGCCAGUCCCCUACUGAGGCACAGACACUCAGGUUGUUUCUAACUAUCUAAUAACAAUGUUGCAAUGAAUGUUCUCGUAUAGUGUAUACAUCAUUUCAUAAUCUGUGAACAUUCUUAGAGGACAUAUUUAUAGAAGUUAAAUGGAUGGGGCAGAGAGUUUAUUUUAACAUGUAUUAGAAAAAAAAUGUAAGAAAGAAGGAGUUCCCAUUGUGGUGCAGUGGGUUAAGGACCUGGGGUUGCUACAGCUGUGGUGAAGGUCACAGAUACAGCUUAGCUUCCACCCCUGGCCCGGGAACUUCCAUGUUCCACAGUGUCGGCCAAAAAAGAAAAAAAGAAAAAAUGUAGAUCUCACACACCAAACCCACGAUUUCACAGUAAUAUCUUUUUUUUUUUUUUGGUCUUUUUUGGGCCAUGCCCUUGGCACAUGGAGGUUCCCAGGCUAGGGGCUGAAUCGGAGCUGUUGCCUCCGACUUACGCCAUAGCCGUAGUGAGGCCAAAUCUGAGCCACAUCUGUGACCUACACCACAGCUCACAGCAACUCCGGAUCCUUAACCCACUGAGCAAAGCCAGGGAUCGAACCUGCGUCCUCAUGGAUGUUAGAUUCAUUUCCACUGAGCCACAGUGGGAACUCCUCACAGUUAUAUCUGGACCUUCCUCCAGUUGGCUGUGGGUCUUACAGCCUCUCUCAGUUUUCUUGAAUGGAAAAUUGUGUUGUGGGGGAUGAGUAAUAAUAAUAAUAAUAAUAAUAAUAAUAAUAAUACAAUCCAGAGCUUGGAACACGAUGCCUACUCGGUAAACAGAGGCUGUUAUAAUUCAGCUAUUUAGAGUGAAUUCGGGGAAGAAAGAGACGUCAGAAUCUCCCCUCUGCCCAGCACCCCUCCCUUUCAACCCUCCUCCAUUUGCCAUGGCAGCUAGAAGUGAAGCCAGGCACAAUAUAUAACAGGGUAUGUGACCUGGGCCACCCCACGGAGCCCCAGGCUUCAAAGGUCCCCACGCUCGGUUGAAUCCUCUGCCGUCACCAGCUCAAAGUGCUCGAUGAUUCUGAGCAAGAGGCCGCGUGUUCACUUUGCACAGGGCCCUGCCAACUCUGUAACCAGUCCUGUUCGUGAUGUCGGCCCCACCUGGUCUCCGCCUCCUUAGCAUGAGCCCUCCCCCACAGACCAGCUUCUUUUGCUCCCGGAUGUGGCCGGAUGGAGCCCAUCCCCUUGGGAUCCUCUGCAGACGCUGAGACCUGGCAGCUCCUGCUGUGGCCUGGGGCCCCCUCUGCUGACACCUUCUGUCCCAGUGCCCGUCUUUCACAGACUGCUCCACCCGUUCCUAGCAUCCCUCUGGGGCAAGUCUUUGGGAGGGGCUCCACGUGGCCCUAGGUUUCCCAGGGAGCCAGGGUUUGGAGGUACCCCUUCCACGCCCUGAGUUUCAUGGAAGCCCCUAAACCACUCUCAGCUCUCUCUCAUCCUGUGUUUUAACCAAGAAAACAUUGUGAAGUCAGAAAUCUUAGAUUCAGAGAAUGUAUAUAUAUAUAUGUACGACAGGGUCAGGUUGCUGUACAGCAGAAACUGGCACAACGUUGUAAAUCAACGAUCCUUUAAAAAUGUAAUUAAAAA
ensembl:lncRNA